rnacentral:rRNA from 1 species
CCCGGGUGGACCCGCAUGCAUGUAAAAGUUGGUCUCAGGACAGGACGAUAUGUGACUCAAGAACGGAACCGGUUACAAAUCGGACGAGGCCUGGGCGUGCCCUGACCCCCGUCGGGCGGCGCACGGCNGCUCUCUGGGCUACAACUCGGCGCGGAAUGCGCCAGGAAACUCAAGACGUCGCCCCGUGUCCGCUCGCGAUCGCGUCGGUGCAGGACUCUUGUCGUAAUACCAAAACGACUCUCGGCAACGAAUAUCUCGGCUCUCGCAUCGAUGAAGAACGUAGCGAAAUGCGAUACUUGGUGUGAAUGCAGAAUCCCGUAACCAUCGAGUCUUGAACGCAAGUGGCGCCCGAAGCGGUCAGGCGGAGGGCACGUCUGCNUGGGCGUCACGCAUCGCGUGGCCCCCCUUCUAGCGUCCAGACGCUGGCGUGGGGGGGCGAAGAAUGGCUUCCGGUGCGCCCCGGCGCGCGGCCGGUCCAAAUGCGUUCCCUUGCGACGAACGUCGCGACCAGUGGUGGUGAUCUUCAACUCUCGUGCUGUCGGGGCGUCGUCCGUGCGGGGAACAAAACAGUAGAACCCCCAAAGGGUGCACUAAACGGGCGUCGUAUCGCUGCACCCCGAGAUGGCUUGCGUUC